GAUGAACGCUGGCGGCGUGCCUAAUACAUGCAAGUCGUGCGAACAGAUGAGGAGCUUGCUCCUCUGACGUUAGCGGCGGACGGGUGAGUAACACGUGGAUAACCUACCUAUAAGACUGGGAUAACUUCGGGAAACCGGAGCUAAUACCGGAUAAUAUAUUGAACCGCAUGGUUCAAUAGUGAAAGACGGUUUUGCUGUCACUUAUAGAUGGAUCCGCGCCGCAUUAGCUAGUUGGUAAGGUAACGGCUUACCAAGGCAACGAUGCGUAGCCGACCUGAGAGGGUGAUCGGCCACACUGGAACUGAGACACGGUCCAGACUCCUACGGGAGGCAGCAGUAGGGAAUCUUCCGCAAUGGGCGAAAGCCUGACGGAGCAACGCCGCGUGAGUGAUGAAGGUCUUCGGAUCGUAAAACUCUGUUAUUAGGGAAGAACAAAUGUGUAAGUAACUAUGCACGUCUUGACGGUACCUAAUCAGAAAGCCACGGCUAACUACGU
rnacentral:rRNA from 1 species